rnacentral:rRNA from 1 species
CGAAAGUGACGGUACCUGCAGAAGAAGCGCCGGCUAACUACGUGCCAGCAGCCGCGGUAAUACGUAGGGCGCAAGCGUUAUCCGGAAUUAUUGGGCGUAAAGAGCUCGUAGGCGGUUUGUCGCGUCUGCUGUGAAAGACCGGGGCUCAACUCCGGUUCUGCAGUGGGUACGGGCAGACUAGAGUGAUGUAGGGGAGACUGGAAUUCCUGGUGUAGCGGUGAAAUGCGCAGAUAUCAGGAGGAACACCGAUGGCGAAGGCAGGUCUCUGGGCAUUAACUGACGCUGAGGAGCGAAAGCAUGGGGAGCGAACAGGAUUAGAUACCCUGGUAGUCCAUGCCGUAAACGUUGGGCACUAGGUGUGGGGGACAUUCCACGUUUUCCGCGCCGUAGCUAACGCAUUAAGUGCCCCGCCUGGGGAGUACGGCCGCAAGGCUAAAACUCAAAGGAAUUGACGGGGGCCCGCACAAGCGGCGGAGCAUGCGGAUUAAUUCGAUGCAACGCGAAGAACCUUACCAAGGCUUGACAUGAACCGGUAAUACCUGGAAACAGGUGCCCCGC